ACCGACUGUUAGUAACGUCCCGAAUUUUCCGGGAAAAUUGAAAAGCGCGCGAUAUACGGCCGAUUUUUUUCCGAAAAAAAAAUUUUUUUUGAGUAUUAAUUUCUUUAUCCGUAUGACGGUGUUUAGUGUGUGCUGUUCUGUGUUGUGUGUGUGAGUGUUUUAAUAUAUGGUAAAAAGGAUUCAAAUAAUCCCCUGAAAAGCUUGAUUGAUUUGAG
rnacentral:misc_RNA from 1 species